UAAGUUGUGUAAAUUCAAAC
rnacentral:miRNA from 1 species